rnacentral:rRNA from 1 species
UACAGAGGGGGCAAGCGUUGUUCGGAAUUACUGGGCGUAAAGGGCGCGUAGGCGGCCUGCUAAGUCGAACGUGAAAUCCCUGGGCUCAACCCAGGAACUGCGUCCGAUACUGGUUGGCUUGAAUCCGGGAGAGGGACGUGGAAUUCCAGGUGUAGCGGUGAAAUGCGUAGAUAUCUGGAGGAACACCGGUGGCGAAGGCGGCAUCCUGGACCAUUACUGACGCUGAGGAGCGAAAGCCAGGGGAGCAAACGGG